GACGUAGGGUGCGAGCGUUUGUCCGGAUUUAUUGGGCGUAAAGAGCUCGUAGGCGGCUCGUCGCGUCGACCGUGAAAUCCCGCAGCUUAACUGCGGGCUUGCGGUUGAUACGGGCGGGCUAGAGUCCGGUAGGAGGAGUGAUCGAUCCGGUGUAGCGGUGAAAUGCGCAGAUAUCGGGAGGAACACCCGUAGCGAAGGCGGCACUCUGGGCCGGUACUGACGCUGAGGAGCGAAAGCGUGGGGAGCAAACAGGG
rnacentral:rRNA from 1 species